AAGCCGGCUCCUCUUGCACUCACUUCCUUUGUGUCUCUCUCUCUCUUUCUCUCUCUCUCCCCCUCACCAAUCUCUUUCUUCCCUCCUUGUCCGAUUCUCUGCUGUAGCUUCCAGUAGAGAAAAAUAAUUAUUCUUCUCAAUGGGUUCGCACGGGGCGCACGCACACACGCGCGCGCACACACACCCCGCCGAGGUACCCAAUCAAUGCACAAAUCUUCGGGGUCCCUUUAACCUCUGCGGAUGACUCCAGGAGUUAAUUAUGAAGCCUAUUUCGGCGCGGCAUAAAUAUGCAUUAAGCCCCCCAGCCCCGGGGCCGGCGUGCCCGGCCCACCCCGCCCUCCGCGCCCCCCCGACGGCCGCGGUCGGCCGGCAUUCCGGAGCAGCGCGUCGGAGCUGCAACUUCGCGCCUAAGCGCCCGCACCUCGCAGCCCGGCGGGCGGGAGACAAAAGCUGCGGCGCCGCCGCCGGAGGCCGCGCGGCCAAGGAAUUAAUGGAGAAUUCAGAGAAAUCGGAGCUUCUACUCCACCACCCUCUGUCAUUGCACUGCCCUGGCACAUGGGCACAACGUCUUCUGAGAAGGGACACAAACUGCUCAGACAUGCGGCAUCCUCCCUGUAGUCCUCCUUUCCUGGCCGGUUGGAGAACGAUCUCUACCUUUCUCUUCUGAACAGCUCCCAGCAUGCUCCAUGGGGAACAUUUUGGAUUUGAAUGAAGAGCAUAAAAAUGUGGUCAGCAUAUUGGCCUUGGUAUUUGAUUUUCUUUUUUCCAUGCAACUGGCCCCAGGAGGUGACUGACAAGUUGGGCCAAGUGCACUGAAAGCCCUGUCUCGGCUGGCCCAUAACUCCUGAGCUGCACAGACCCCUAAGGACCCCGUGAGCCGGCAGAGAGCCAUAAAUCCGGCAAGCUGGAGGCUGCGAGCUCACUGAUUGCACUGGGGAAAAGCAGCCUGAUCUGAUUGCUAUGUGAGCUGGAGAGAGAAAAGGUGGUAACUGGAGUGCUGGAAAUACAACGACUUUGGAACAAAAUGAAGCAACAGAGGAAUGGCAGGAGGGACUGUGGUUUUCUCAUCUGUACAACAAAGGGGCUGGAUUGGACUGCAUCUGAAGCCCUUUCAUCACAGAAAUUCUGUAUUUCCCUUUGUAACUAAGGUCAAACAGAUGUGGGAGGGUGUCAGGAUGGGAAAGCAAGAUCGGGGGACCCAGAGAAGCCAGAAGAGGCAACGAGGAGGCCGACAUAUUUACUGCCCAAUUACUAUCACAUUUUUUGGUGUGUAUGUGAGACAGGGUCUCACUCUGUCUCCCAGACUGGAGUGCAGUGGUGCGAUCUCAGCUCACUGCAACCUCCGCCUCCCGGGUUCAAGCGAUGCUCAUACCUCAGCCUCCUGAGUAGCUGGGAUUACAGGCACACGCCACCACACCUGGCUAUUUUUUUAUUUUUUUAUUUUUAGUAGAGAUGGGGUUUCACCAUGUUGACUAGGCUGGUCUCGAACUCCUGGCCUUAAGCCACUCACCUGCUCAGCCUCCCAAAGUGCUGGAAUUACAGGUGUGAGCCACUGCACCUGGCCAACUAUCACAUUUAAUUCUCAGAGUAACAAGUGAGAUAGAUGUAGGUAUCCCCAUUUUACAGAGAAGAACACUGAAGUACAGAGGCUACAUUAAUAUCUCAAGGUCACAAGCCUCCGUGCUCAGGCUGGGAUUCCAACCCAGGCAGUCUGACCCAGAGCCUGCACACUUGGUCAUGAAGUCUUCUUGCCUGAGUAUGCAAUGUGACCAGGAAAACCCUGGAGGAAACAUGUACACAACUUGUGUUUCCUUACUUUUAAGGGUAAGAGUGGAAAACAGUCCCCAUGGAGUAGAUUGUCCAAAAUACACAUCAGUCUUCUGGGAAAGAGGAGUGUGUGUGUGUGUUUGUGUGUGUGUGUGUGUCUGUGUCUGUGUGUCCGUAGGGGAUGUAACAGACAGAACCAAGAAGUGUGUAGGUGAAAAUAUUUAAUAGGGAUGAAUGUAAAUUCCUGUACCUGGGCACAGAAUCCCCACUAUAUGAAAAUAGAAUAGAGAGUUAGGAUCAGAAAGCAUCAAUUUAGGGGCUUCACCUAACAGCAAGCUCAGGUUGAACACCAGUGUGGUGAGGCUUCCAGAAAAGCCCACCACAGGGCUGCAUCAACAGAAGGGAAGUGUCCCACGCCAGGACAGAACCCUUAGAGCAUUCACGCUAGGUUGAGUUCCAGGCCACUUGCUAUAAGACGGACAGAGCCAGGCCGGAGAGGAUAAAGAGGAGAGCAACAGGGAUAGAGAUGGACAUCUGAGGAAGAGGUAAAACACUCACCAGUUGAAAGAACCAGGCCAGACAUAGUGGCUCAUGCCUGUAAUCCUAGCACUCUGGGAGGCCGAGGCAGGUGGAUCACCUGAGGUCAGGAGUUCGAGACCAGCCUGGCCAACAUGGUGAAAUCCCGUCUCUACUGAAAAUACAAAAAUUAGUUGGGUGCAGUGGUGGGCACCUACAAUCCCAGCUACUUGGAAGGCUGAGGCAGGAGAAUCGCUUGAACCCAGGAGACAGAGGUUGCAAUGAGCCAAGAUUGCGCCACUGCACUCCAGCGUGGGCAACGGAGAGACUCUGUCACAAAAAAAAAGAAAAGAAAAAGAAAGAACUAGGUGACAUUGUGCAAGUUACACCAUACAUCACAACAUCAGUUUUCCUAUCUGCAAAAGCGGUUUAUUAGUAGGGUCGGCAUAGAGAUUAAAUGAGAAAGCAUGUCAAGUGCUUAGCUGGGGGCCGGACAUAAUAAACGUUAGCUGCACCAGCCGUUAUUAAACCCUGAGCAUGCUCACCUCAGACAGGGGGUGCAUCAGGGACAUGGCUGGAGGAUCAAGGACAGGGCUCUCCAUGGCACCGGUCCAGAGUCACAGCUC
rnacentral:lncRNA from 1 species